rnacentral:lncRNA from 10 species
GCUGAGGUUGAUUUAAGAAGGCUCUGGAUAAGUCCCUAGCAUAUGUGCUACUUUAGCUUUCAAGAAGGGGGCAAAAUGGAUGGACUCAGCACGUUCUUUCUAUAGCGCCACUUUGAACGGCGAAGAUGUCCAAGUCCAUGCUAACAGAAAGGAGCAGAUCUCAGGAACCUGAAGAAACUGGCACACAAUAGAAUCUAUAAAAGUUCAGAAAUGGAGGUCAUAUAUGUCUGAGAUUGGAUGCUGCCUACCCACAUUGAAGAUGGACCUUUCCCAAUUAAUCCAUCAGACUGGGAAAUACAGAAAGGAGAAUAAAAAGAAAAAGAAACGAAAAUCCACCCAGUCUCCCACACUAAUCUCUUCUGGAAACAUUCUCACAGACACACCCAAACAUAGUGCUUUACCAGGUUUUUAGGUACUCCUUCCAGUCAAAUCAACACCUAAAAUUAAUCUUUACAAGCCCAACCCUUGUCAACUGGCAUCCAUACACAUCUUCCUAAGCCAUACUCUUCAAAUAAAAACAAUAAUAAAGUAUUAGUUUUGCUUAACAUGAAGCUCUGUAAAACCAAAAACUCAUUAGUCCUGUCUUCAGAAGAGGAGGUACUCUUUGAGUGAUGUUUACUCUUCUCCUGAUAUCCCCUUUCUUAAAUACAAUGACAUAAAAUUAACAAUACUUAAAUACUUAUAUAAAUGCAAUUAAUAUUAUGUUAUGAUAAAGCAAUGAGAGAAGCAAAACUAAAGAUAUUUGCUUAAUAUAUGUACACAUAUGCACAGAUGUAUUCCUAACAAAACCAGGAGAAAAUACUUAGAACAAAUUACAGUCCUCAUUUCUGCAACUGGUCAUCUGAUUGUAGCUGGUAUUUAUAACUAUCUUCUUCUACUAUUCAUUCUGUAUUCCCUUUGUCUCCAGCAAGCACCUUAGCCAGUCAUGGUUCUUUACCUGGUGGGGUGACCCAAGGCUGCAUUCCUGAAGAGUCUGAGCUAUUCAUAGUCUUGCCUGAAUUGGAUUAUUACAGUUUCCCAUUGACCUUAAUCACACAGCAUAAUUGUAAGAUUCUCCCUGGGGCCUGAAAGCUUAAGGGGAUGAGUAACUCCUGCCUUCUCAGGCCCGGUCUUCAAAGUGUAAGGCCACUUGCAUCAGCAGCAUGUGUCAGUAAGAUAGCAAAAGCAGGAAGAGAGCCAGUCAGAAGACAGCUACCCUGGCUGGAAGACACGUACCCCUGAAGAUCGAGAAAGGCCAUCCGCGUACCACACAGCAGUUACGUCAGACUAGGACACUUCCUGUUUACAAGAGACUAUAAAAUCUUUGCCCCGUCUUCACUUGGGGCUGACGCCAUUUUAGACCUCAGCCCGCGUGCACCCAGGCACUCAUUAAAACAGCGUGUUACUCCACACUGCCUUGUGUUGUCUGUUGGCACGCUCUCAGGGUUUGAACGGAUAGAAGAACCUUACAAUAAUAGUACAAGACAAGCCCUAAGGGAUCUUCUGUAUUUCAGACAUGCUAUUUCUUACCUACAUUGUGGAAUAAUAGUCCAAUAUUUCCUUUGUAGUCCAGGUAAAUCACCCCAGCCACCACCAUAAUUCCUUUCUUAGCCUGUUGUCUCAGAGGAGCCCAAAGUGGCAAAGUGGCAGCCUUACAUUCCAGUUAAAUGGAAUCAUUGUUGUUUCUCCUGAUGGAAGCAUCCCUCUCUUUCGAAGUAAGACCCCUAGGCCAGCAGUAUAUAAAGCUGUGGGAACAGGGAAUAAAAAAUUUGCUAAUACAUCACUAGGGUCAAUUGUGAGUGGUUUCAUUUUUAUUGCACCCCUUGAUUCCUGGACCCCUGAAUCCUGGUUAUGGGAGAAAGAGUACUAUGUAUCGGGAGCCGAUUUAGAGCACAUGAAGCCUUCUAA